rnacentral:rRNA from 1 species
UACGUAGGGGGCUAGCGUUGUCCGGAAUCAUUGGGCGUAAAGCGCGUGUAGGCGGUCCGGUAAGUCCGCUGUGAAAGUCGGGGGCUCAACCCUCGAAUGCCGGUGGAUACUGUCGGGCUAGAGUGCGGAAGAGGCGAGUGGAAUUCCUGGUGUAGCGGUGAAAUGCGCAGAUAUCAGGAGGAACACCGGUGGCGAAGGCGGGUCUCUGGGCAGUAACUGACGCUGGAGGAGCGAAAGCCGUGGGGAGCGAACAGG